AUUCCGGUUGAUCCCGCCGGAGGUCACUGCUAUCUGAAUCUGACUAAGACAUGCUAGUGCUGGGUAAAACCAGUGCGUACAGCUCAGUAUCAGAUUGACGUUCUGGAGGAACGUCUUUCUGCUGGAAACACGCAGUUAACCUGCCCUUAGGCCCGCCAUAAUCCCGGGAAACUGGGGCUAAAGGCGGACAGGUAAGGGAUGCUGGAAACCCUUUUUCUAUAUUAAACUUAUUAAAAGCAGUUACGGAAAAGGGCUGGAAUGCGCCCUUAUCGAACUAAGGAUGGGACUGCGGCCGAUUAGCUUGUUGCUAGGGUAAAAUCCUGGCAAGGCGAUAAUCGGUACGGGCCUUGAAAGAGGAAGCCCGGAGAUGGAUUCUGAGACAAGAAUCCAGGUCCUACGGGACGCAGCAGUCGCGAAACUUUCACAAUGCGCGCAAGCGUGAUGGAGGGAUUCAGAGUGUCUUCUCUUUUUUUGAGGAGACUUUUGUGGAGUCUAAACCACUCCACGAAUAAGUGGUGGGUAAGACGGGUGCCAGCCGCCGCGGUAAUACCCGCGCCACGAGUGGUGACCACGUUUAUUGGGCUUAAAGCGUUCGUAGCCGGCCUGGUAAGUUUCCAAUGAAAUUCCACAGAUGACUGUGGAGCUUGUUGGAAAUACUGCCGGGCUUGGGACCGGGAGAGGUCGAGGGUAUUGUAGGGGUAGGGGUAAAAACAGAUGAUACCCGAAGGGUAUCUGUCCAGAUACAUUCCUAUAAUCCCUACAGGACCGCCUGUGGCGAAGCCUUACUUUACGGAAGCUAUUACUUUCUCAAAGAAAGCCUUGGGAAAGAAACACGCAAAAAAGAGGGCUCCGCAUAAGGCGCUCGACUAGAACGGAUCCGACGGUGAGGGACGAAAGCUAGGGGAGCGAACGGGAUUAGAUACCCCGGUAGUCCUAGCCGUAACAGAUUGGACGGUUACGUAUUUAAUUCACACUGUCGGUCUGCGGAUACGAUACCCACUAGACGUUGGAGUUCUUACGGGGGGCUCCAGAGUCGUAGGGAAACCGUUAAGUGGGUCGCCUGGGGAGUACGGUCGCAAGGCUGAAACUUAAGGGAAUUGGCGGGGGAGCACACAAGGGGUGGAGGCUGCGGUUCAAUUCGACUCAACGCGAGGAACCUUACCAGCGGCGACAGCAGAAAAUGUGCAUGACGACUUGAACUGGUUGUUCAAAUCGUCCGUCUGCAGUGAAGGUCAGGCUGAAGGUCUUACCAGACAAGCUGAGAGGUGCUGCAUGGCCGUCGUCAGUUCGUGCCGUGUAAGCCUUUCUUUACAGAAGCUGUCGCUUUCUCAAAGAAAGCCUUGGGAAAGAAAUAUGCAAAAAAGAAAGGCUUCGGUAAAGGUGUCCUGUUAAGUCAGGAAACGAACGAGACCCGCACCCUGUGUUACUACUGGGUCCUUUGGGCUCAGGUACUCACAGGGGACCGCUGGCGACAAGCCAGAGGAAGGGGCGGGCGACGGCAGGUCAGUAUGGUCUGAAUCCGCUGGGCAACACGCGGCCUACAAUGGCCGGAACAAUGAGAUGCGACCCUGAAAAACCGUCUGCUAACACUGAACAAAGAUUGCUUGGAUAUUCAAGCAGACUUUUCGCAAUGUUAGCAAUCGGUACAGAAGGGGGAGCUAAUCUCUAAAUCCGGUCUUGGUUCGGAUCGAGGACUGCAACUUGUCCUCGUGAAGGCGAAAUCCCUAGUAGUCGCUGGUCAUCAUCCAGCGGCGAAUAAGUUCCUGCUCCUUGCACACACUGCCCGUCAAGCCAACCGAGUGGGUUUUUGGUGAGGCUCUGGUUUUUGCC
rnacentral:rRNA from 1 species